GCAGUGAGCCACCCCACCGCCGCGCCCAACGCAAAUGCGGGCGGGGAGGAAAGUCCGGGCUACGCAGGGCACCCUGCUACCUAACGGGUAGGACUGGCCAAUCGGGCCAGGACAGCCAGUGCCACAGAAAAUAACCGCCCGCAAGGGUAAGGGUGAAAAGGUGCGGUAAGAGCGCACCAGCGGCUGGGCAACCACGCCGGCUGGGUAAACCUCAGGGGUUGCAAGACCAAAUAAGCAAGCGCGUUGCUAGCCCCCCGGGGCCGGCAGCACCGGGCGGCCCGCCCGGGUUUGCGGGUAGGUCGCUGGAGCCCACGGGCGACCGUGGGCCUAGAUAAAUGGUGGGGCCGCCGCCGCCGGAAACGGCGAAGGGCGGACAGAACCCGGCUUAUCGGCUCAUUGCGUAA
rnacentral:RNase_P_RNA from 1 species